GAUGAACGCUGGCGGCGUGCUUAACACAUGCAAGUCGAACGGAAAGGCUCCUGCUUGCAGGGGUACUCGAGUGGCGAACGGGUGAGUAACACGUGGGUGAUCUGCCCUGCACUUCGGGAUAAGCCUGGGAAACUGGGUCUAAUACCGGAUAGGACGAUGGUUUGGAUGCCAUUGUGGAAAGUUUUUUCGGUGUGGGAUGAGCUCGCGGCCUACCAGCUUGUUGAUGGGGUAAUGGCCUACCAAGGCGUCGACGGGUAGCCGGCCUGAGAGGGUGUACGGCCACAUUGGGACUGAGAUACGGCCCAGACUCCUACGGGAGGCAGCAGUGGGGAAUAUUGUACAAUGGGCGCAAGCCUGAUGCAGCGACGCCGCGUGGGGGAUGACGGCCUUCGGGUUGUAAACUCCUUUCGCUAGGGACGAAGCGCAAGUGACGGUACCUGGAGAAGAAGCACCGGCUAACUACGUG
rnacentral:rRNA from 1 species